UACUAUUUUCGGAUAGUAUGAUGGCGAGUGGCGGACGGGUGAGUAACGCGUAGGAAUCUACCUAAAAGUGGGGGACAACCUGAGGAAACUUAGGCUAAUACCGCAUACACUCUAAGGAGAAAAGCUGGGGACCAUUUAUGGCCUGGCGCUUUUAGAUGAGCCUGCGUAAGAUUAGCUAGUUGGUAGGGUAAAAGCCUACCAAGGCUACGAUCUUUAGCUGGUUUGAGAGGAUGAUCAGCCACACUGGGACUGAGACACGGCCCAGACUCCUACGGGAGGCAGCAGUGGGGAAUAUUGGACAAUGGGCGAAAGCCUGAUCCAGCAAUGCCGCGUGUGCGAAGAAGGCUUUCGGGUCGUAAAGCACUUUCAAUGGGGAGGAAAGCUAUAGAAUUAAUACCUUUAUAGUCUGACGUUAUCCAUACAAGAAGCACCGGCUAACUCUGUGCCAGCAGCCGCGGUAAUACAGAGGGUGCAAGCGUUAAUCGGAGUUACUGGGCGUAAAGCGCACGUAGGCGGACGUAACAGUCAGAUGUGAAAUCCCUGGGCUUAACCUAGGAACUGCAUUUGAUACUAUACGUCUAGAGUAUGGUAGAGGGAAGUGGAAUUUCCGGUGUAGCGGUGAAAUGCAUAGAUAUCGGAAGGAACAUCAGUGGCGAAGGCGACUUCCUGGACCAAUACUGACGCUGAGGUGCGAAAGCAUGGGGAGCAAACAGGAUUAGAUACCCUGGUAGUCCAUGCCGUAAACGAUGAGAACUAGUUGUUGGGUAGUUUACUACUUAGUGACGCAGCUAACGCA
rnacentral:rRNA from 2 species